CCAGGGGAUGCAUGCAGAGCUGUCAUGGCUGAGAUAAGUCCGGCCGUGCGUCACGACUCUUUUAGACAUCACUGUUGUCGGAAAUGCAUCCACGGAGGAGCCGUGGAAGACCCAUGUAUCCUCGGUUAUAGCUCCUCCAGAG